rnacentral:rRNA from 1 species
UACGAGGGGGGCGAGCGUUGUUCGGAAUUAUUGGGCGUAAAGCGCGCGCAGGCGGUUUCUUAAGUCUGAUGUGAAAGCCCACGGCUCAACCGCGGAGGGUCAUUGGAAACUGGGGAACUUGAGUGCAGAAGAGAAAAGCGGAAUUCCACGUGUAGCGGUGAAAUGCGUAGAGAUGUGGAGGAACACCAGUGGCGAAGGCGGCUUUUUGGUCUGUAACUGACGCUGAGGCGCGAAAGCGUGGGGAGCAAACAGG